CUUGAGUCUUUGUGAACCUUACCUGAGUGGUAUCCAUCCUAAGUGUGUGGAUUUAAUCAACCAAGCAAGAGAAGAAAGCAACCAUAGGAAGAAGAGGCGCCGGCGGGUGGUUCAUUCCAGUUUUGAUGUUGAAUUCGGUUUUAAUGGUUAACUGAGCCCGGGAAUCAGCGUGAGCAGCUAGAGGAAGGUCCUAACAGUUUGCAUUAGUGGAUGAGUAUUUCGGGAAAAAGGGGAGGGCUUCAAGUUCUACUCAACAAAAACACCAUGUUCCACAAGCUCGUCUCUACCAGUAUCUACCAGAGCAGACUCUUCUUUAUCAGGUCAAAGGAGUUUCUGCAGCAGAGGAGAAGAUUACGAGGCACAGUUUCUUGAUGGAGAACUGAUUAUAUAAAUAAUCGAAAUUCAUAAGAGCGCGUAUGCUGCUAUGGCUUAUUAUAUAAAUAAAAGUAUGAGCAAUAUCCUCGUGUAUGAUAAUAAGUAAAUAUUUUCUAUGUAGUACUGGACUGGAUUGUACAACAAACAAUUUUAGCUUCCCUUUCUUCUUUACUACUGUCUUUUGUACUCUGUGCUGAUGCCUAAUAAAAUAUGCACAGUUAAUGAUAGAAUCCCUUGUACACAUCUCCAAGUGAUGGAACAGUUUCAGGGUUGUAGCAGAUUUCUUUAACGCUUCUGGUAUGUGAAUAUUAAACUGUUUUCCAUUUUAAAAAUGAAUUUAAUGCAAAU
rnacentral:lncRNA from 1 species